rnacentral:rRNA from 1 species
CAACGUGGGUAACCUACCCAAGAGACUGGGAUAACACCUGGAAACAGAUGCUAAUACCGGAUAACAACACUAGACGCAUGUCUAGAGUUUAAAAGAUGGUUCUGCUAUCACUCUCGGAUGGACCUGCGGUGCAUUAGCUAGUUGGUAAGGUAACGGCUUACCAAGGCAAUGAUGCAUAGCCGAGUUGAGAGACUGAUCGGCCACAUUGGGACUGAGACACGGCCCAAACUCCUACGGAAGGCAGCAG